rnacentral:rRNA from 1 species
GAUGAACGCUGGCGGCGUGCCUAAUACAUGCCAGUCGAGCGAACAGAUGAGGAGCUUGCUCCUCUGACGUUAGCGGCGGACGGGUGAGUAACACGUGGAUAACCUACCUAUAAGACUGGGAUAACUUCGGGAAACCGGAGCUAAUACCGGAUAAUAUAUUGAACCGCAUGGUUCAAUAGUGAAAGACGGUUUUGCUGUCACUUAUAGAUGGGUCCGCGCCGCAUUAGCUAGUUGGUAAGGUAACGGCUUACCAAGGCAACGAUGCGUAGCCGACCUGAGAGGGUGAUCGGCCACACUGGAACUGAGACACGGUCCAGACUCCUACGGGAGGCAGCAGUAGGGAAUCUUCCGCAAUGGGCGAAAGCCUGACGGAGCAACGCCGCGUGAGUGAUGAAGGUCUUCGGAUCGUAAAACUCUGUUAUUAGGGAAGAACAAAUGUGUAAGUAACUAUGCACGUCUUGACGGUACCUAAUCAGAAAGCCACGGCUAACUACGUG